UAGGGAAUAUUGGACAAUGGGGGCAACCCUGAUCCAGCCAUGCCGCGUGAGUGAUGAAGGCCUUCGGGUUGUAAAGCUCUUUUGUCAGGGAAGAUGAUGACGGUACCUGAAGAAUAAGCCCCGGCUAACUUCGUGCCAGCAGCCGCGGUAAUACGAAGGGGGCUAGCGUUGUUCGGAAUUACUGGGCGUAAAGGGCGCGUAGGCGGCCGUCCAAGUCAGGAGUGAAAUCCCCAGGCUCAACCUGGGAAUUGCUUUUGAGACUGGAUGGCUUGAGUGCAGGAGAGGUGAGUGGAAUUCCCAGUGUAGAGGUAAAAUUCGUAGAUAUUGGGAGGAACACCAGUGGCGAAGGCGGCUCACUGGCCUGUAACUGACGCUGAGGCGCGAAAGCGUGGGGAGCAAACAGGAUUAGAUACCCGCGUAGUCC
rnacentral:rRNA from 1 species